GAGAUGUAGCUCAGCGGCAGAGCAUCUGUUUUGGAUGCAGAAGGUCCCAAGUUCAAUCCCUAUCAUUUAAACA